rnacentral:rRNA from 1 species
UCGAGAGAAACAUAAAAUAAAAUGACGGAUGGUUGUGAAUGUGUGAAUGUGUCCCUUUCCUCGCCCCGCCCCAUGUCGGCGGGCGAUUGACCGUAGCUCGGUGCGAUCAGCACUAAGGAACAAUGAACUCGGAAGCAAAGGGUCCCUUGGCGUGCGCAAGGAGAGCCCAAUGCGUCGGAGAUUCCUCGAAAUCAAAUGACUCUCGGCAAUGGAUAUCUCGGCUCUUGCAUCGAUGAAGAACGUAGCGAAAUGCGAUACUUGGUGUGAAUUGCAGAAUCUCGUGAACCAUUGAGUCUUUGAACGCAAGUUGUGCCCGAGGCCUUGCGGUCGAGGGCACGCCUGCUUGGGCGUCAUGGCAUCGUCGCCUUUGCUCCAUGCAUGCAUGCGCUGCUGGUGCCGAGUGCGGAAAUUGGCCCCGUGUGCCCUCGGGCACAGUCGGUCGAAGAGCGGGAAGUCGGCAAUCGUCGGGCACGAUGGAUGUUGGUCGCCGUGAGCGGGAACAGAACGUCGUCCUCGUCGGUUUGAGAUGAGUCCUUCCUCAAGAGACCCUUGCGUGCGUGAUUGCGGCGUCGGACGAAAGUGUGCCGUGUCCAUCAACUAACUU